UACGUAGGGGGCAAGCGUUGUCCGGAAUUAUUGGGCGUAAAGCGCGCGCAGGCGGCCCGUUUAGUCGGGUGGUUAAGCCCGGGGCUCAACCCCGGGUCACACCGGAAACGGACGGGCUGGAGUGCAGAAGAGGAGAGUGGAAUUCCACGUGUAGCGGUGAAAUGCGUAGAGAUGUGGAGGAACACCAGUGGCGAAGGCGACUCUCUGGACUGUAACUGACGCUGAGGCGCGAAAGCGUGGGGAGCAAACAGG
rnacentral:rRNA from 1 species